UACAGAGGUCUCAAGCGUUGUUCGGAUUCAUUGGGCGUAAAGGGUGCGUAGGCGGCGCGGUAAGUCGGGUGUGAAAUCUCGGGGCUUAACUCCGAAACUGCAUUCGAUAACUGCCGUGCUUGAGGACUGGAGAGGAGACUGGAAUUUACGGUGUAGCGGUGGAAAUGCGUAGAUAUCAGGAGGAACACCCGUAGCGAAGGCGGCACUCUGGGCCGAUUCUGACACUGAGGAGCGAAAGCGUGGGGAGCGAACAGG
rnacentral:rRNA from 1 species